GUGGACGUUUCGUAGUGGUUAUCAGGCAUGACUUGAUAUCAUGUGGGCUCUGUCUGCGCAGGUUUGAAUCCUGCCGUCCACA
rnacentral:tRNA from 1 species